UAUGUUUGCAGCACCACUUCCUUAUUUUGCUUAUGAAUCUACUAACAGAAUUGGAAAAGACCUAAAUUAAAGUGAAAGGAUAUUCUUCCUCAUACCUUCUGUCCUGUGCCAAAAAAGAAAAAUAAUCAAAAGGGAAACAAAAACUCAGGCCAACUAAUUGCAAAAAAUGUGAACUGAAGAAGUUUGGCCAGUUCUCAGUCACUCAGCGACUAUGCUUUGCAAACAUAAGGGCUAUCGGGGAAUUCCAAAACAAAGAAAGCAAAAAAACAGGAUUUUCUGAAAGAAAUAUUUUAAGAAAUGCAAGAAGACUUGAUUGAGAUAACUUUUUUUGACACUUAUGCUAAAGGCUGCUUUUUUCUAAAACCUUUUUUUCCUUUUUUUUUUUUUUUUUUUUUUUUUUUUUUUUUUUUUUUUUUUUUUUUUUUUUUUGUAUGUGUGUGUGUGUGUGUGAAAAAUCACACCCGAAAAUUCUGCCCAAAUGGAGACUGGAACAAUGCCUUGAAACAGUGUUAAUUGUCACCAUGGAAACCAGAAGAAUAAGCCAUUUUGAAACUGGUAUAGAAGGCACACAUUGAGCAACUCAAGCAUUUUUCUGCCUCCCUCAAUGUUAAAGAACAACAAGAUGCCUAGUCACUGAGAGGUCAGAGAAAGAAAUCAUCAUGAAAGAGUAAUCUUUUUGACAAAGAAUAAGGGGAAGGUGGUGGGAAGUUCAUCAAAACUGACCAGCACAUCGUAUCUCUGACAUUAUAUCCUGCCUUCCACACCCAUAGCACUCCAUUUUGGAGUGCUGCCUUCUAAAAGACCCAUCUGCUUUCUGGCUAAUAGGAUAAAUAUGUGAGAAGAGUGGGGCUCAUCAAGGUUAAAUACUUUGCCCAAGAUCUCAUAACUCAUACAUGGAAGAGUCCAGAUUCGGAUCCAGGUAUGAUUUACCAUCUGAAGCUCACAAUCUAUAAUAGAUAAUCACCGAGAAGAUGUUUGGUUCAGGAGUCAUCAAGAGACAUCUUUCAAGAGGGGAGAUUAGGAAGGUCAAAGCCUAUGUAGUACAAUGACAGAAGCUCACAUCUAGAACUUUAUCAUUACUCAAUAGACAUUUCUAGUUAAGAUAUUCUUUCUACUCCUUACAUUCUUGAUAAAGGGGUGUGUCUAUUUUAUUAUGUUAAAGUAUCAACAGCAUUGGAAUUGCAAUCAGAAACCUUGGUUUUGAGUCCUUACUCUGUCACUCACUCCUUGAGGCUGUUUCCUUGCUUAUAACAUGAACAUCAAAAUUCUUGCCUUAUCCCUUUUGUAGGGUUAUUUUGAAGAUCAAAUUAGAUUAAGGCACCCCCCCCCAAAACACUAUAAAGUUCUAUAAAAAUAUGCAAGGUAUUGUCAUUCAUUCAUGUACCAGAUAUUUCUUAAAGCCUCCAAAUGUGCUAAAUCUGUUGCAAGGCCACAAUGUGCUGGAAAUGUCAAAUUAUGUAAGAUAUGAUCCCUCUUCUUCCAGAAUGCUACAGAUGAGAAUAGUCAUCCA